rnacentral:lncRNA from 1 species
UUUUCUACUUUUGUAAGGCUAUUUAAAGCCACUGCUGUUUGCUUUCAAAGUUAUGAGAAAUACAGAUUGCAUUUCUCUGUUUGCUGUUUGCAUUUUGUAAGAGCCCAUUUUUGCCCGGCCCAAUAAACCAAAUGAAAAACCAAAAAUAAUAAUAAAUAAUAAUACAGUCCAAUUAUAAAAAAAACAUCUUUAGUUUAUUACAACGGAGCCCAAAUCGUUUUUAACCCAAACCUAAACCUGAUCCUAAGCCCAACAAACCCGAUUCCAGCCCAAUAACCAAAACCAGCCCAGAUUUUUAUAGAAACCCUAAACAGAUUCAGAAAUCACAGGCGCCGCAGCAAUGGGAUCCAGGCCUUCGCACGUGCAUCACCGCUACGUGCCACGCCUCUAUGCGCUGCGCCGAGCCACGCCACGUCACCGUACGGCCUCCGUACACCUGCAACACACAAAGAGCGCAAGCAGCAACCACGCACAAAAAAACAGCAGCAAAACGCAAAAAAAGGCCAGAGGAUAACAACAAAAAAUAGAGGGAUUUCUUUUGUAUUUCCGGCUAUAAAAGCCAUCAAGAUUUGUAAAAGGAACCUUUUUUUUACACAACGCAUACUAUAUCAAAAAUCAAAAAAGAAAUAAAAACCAAGACAAGGUGACUCCUUCUUCUUUUCCUUCUAAUUUUUCUUUGCUUUUUUUUCUCUGUUCUUCUAUUUUGUUAUGGUAUAUAGAUGUAUAUAAGAAAAGGGGUUAAAGGAGGAGGAGCAGCAUACCUGGCUUUGCCCACUCCGUCGCAAUCAGAGAUCGGCGAAGAUCAGCCUGGUCAUCGGCGGCGUUCAAAGCGGUUAAGGUUGAAACCGUAGCAGAAUUCUCCUUUUUUUUGUUUUCUUUAAGAAAUGAAGCAGAAAUGAUUUUAAGGAAAAAGUUUUGUUUUAAAUAACGAAAAGGAAACGACGCCGUUUCACAGUAUAGAUUGGCGAGGUGACCCGACCCGGGGAAGGAUCCGCGCGUCCAGCCUUUCUGGUCUAUUUACGUGGCGAGUCCCUCUGGUUUUGUGGAGUCUCGAUUUGAUUUUCUUCAAUUCUUUGAAUUUGUAUCGCAUAUUUGUUUUUGUUUUCACUUGGAUCCAAUUUUAAACGGCGC